GAGCUGGAAGCCAGUGGUGGUGUGUGUCCAGGAGGUGAAAGGGGACAUGGCAGCUGCUGGGCUGUUGGGAGUCUCUGUGAGUGUGGUUGAGCAGCGAUCCUGUCAGCUGUGUGCAGAGCUUUGGUCCCAACAGCUUCAUUGCAUUUCUGGAGAUCUUAAGAGGCUCCAGGAGGAGAAAAACAUUCUGCAGGCUGAGGAGCUGAUCGAGUGGGCAUCAUUGCUGAGUGUCUGUCAGUGUCUGAAAAGCCACAAGGCUUAUUAUUGCUGCUCCAUGCUUUUCCUGCCUCUCCUAGCACAGCCCACAGAUGUGGAGCUCUGCAUCCACCUCUGUUUCAGUUCAUAAGGUACACUGAGCAGACAAAGGACCAUUUGAUGCCUGAAGGUUUUUACAUUCAGUGAGGCAAAAGACUUGUCCAAUGUCUGACAACGCCCUCACACAAGCCACAGCUCCAGCUGCCUGGUGUCUGCCUGGAUGUCUCGGGAGGUUGUUGGAAAGGGCAGGGAAAAUGCUGGCAGAGGU